UGAGAGGAUCCUCCGUUAAUAAAAAAAUUAGUGGACCUCACGAGAGAACUAUACACCAUGCUGUAUAACAAGCAUCGUUGAUAUAAAAUUGGGGGGACAUUAGCGGAUGUAACCACGAAUGGCUGUUAAUAUUUUGCUGUAAAAAAUGAGGGCAAAAUCAUCGGCCAUACAGUGAUACAGAGAGGGGAAACCACGCUUAAAGAAUUCCCAAUCUCUCCAUAAACCUCAUUCUUACCUUCCAAGCUGCUAACCCUAGUAGCUCAAUGUUCCAAAUAUGCCCCUUAUCUAACUGCAAUUGAGAUCUUUGGGAUUCAAGGGACUGAGGGAGGCAAUUCUGUAAAUAAUGCAAAAAAUAUAUAAAUAAAUAAUUGUUUUAUGAAAUAUUCAUCUAAAUAUAGGUGUAAAAAUUUCUUAUUAUUUAACAAAACAAUGCUUCAAAAUCAAAAUUUCCAAACUAGGGGAAAAUUGAAAAUUAGGCUCAGAUCUGAAAUCUUGAUCGACAAAGAGAACCAACCAUGCCAUGGCUGCAAAAUCACCGGUUGCUCUUGAGACAGAAAAAUCUAAAAUCAAGUACAAUCCGGGUCGCCACGCCAAGAUACGGGUCGAAUUGUCUCGAUGCCUAAUUGAUGAGAUCAGAAGAAUGAGAUGCAUCAUCACAGCCUUAAGAAAUGGUGAUGGAAAAAGUGAGUAAUAGUAGAUGAAAAUGCAUAAUUUCUCGGCAAACACGGAAGGAUGUAUGGUAAAAUGACUGGAAUGUUUCACAAUCAUAUAUGCUGCUGCUUCCUCUGCAAUUUUCCAAGGGCUGUUGAUUUUUUGUUGCUAGUAAUGGGAAAAAAUCAUCGGCUUUGGAGAGAGGCAACCACCCUUGAAAUCCCAAUCUCUCCAUAAUCCUCAAUCUUCCCUUCCAAGCUGGUAGCCCCAGAUUGACCUUUGGCUCGUCACUUAUAGUUCCCCUAAUGUUCCUACUUUACCCCCACAUAAUGGCCAUUUCACGACAUUUGGGAAG
rnacentral:lncRNA from 1 species